rnacentral:rRNA from 1 species
AGUGAACGCUGGCGGUAGGCCUAACACAUGCAAGUCGAACGGCAGCACAGUAAGAGCUUGCUCUUACGGGUGGCGAGUGGCGGACGGGUGAGGAAUACAUCGGAAUCUACUUUUUCGUGGGGGAUAACGUAGGGAAACUUACGCUAAUACCGCAUACGCCCUACGGGUGAAAGCAGGGGAUCUUCGGACCUUGCGCGAUUGAAUGAGCCGAUGUCGGAUUAGCUAGUUGGCGGGGUAAAGGCCCACCAAGGCGACGAUCCGUAGCUGGUCUGAGAGGAUGAUCAGCCACACUGGAACUGAGACACGGUCCAGACUCCUACGGGAGGCAGCAGUGGGGAAUAUUGGACAAUGGGCGCAAGCCUGAUCCAGCCAUACCGCGUGGGUGAAGAAGGCCUUCGGGUUGUAAAGCCCUUUUGUUGGGAAAGAAAAGCAGCAGGUUAAGACCCCGCUGUUCUGACGGUACCCAAAGAAUAAGCACCGGCUAACUUCGUG